rnacentral:rRNA from 1 species
GACAGAGGGUGCUAGCGUUGUUCGGAAUGACUGGGCGUAAAGGGUGAGUAGGCGGUACUUCAAGUCAGGCGUGAAAGCCCCGGGCUCAACCUGGGAACCGCGCUUGAGACUGGAGAACUAGAGUUCGGGAGAGGAUGGUGGAAUUCCCAGUGUAGAGGUGAAAUUCGUAGAUAUUCGCAAGAACACCAGUGGCGAAGGCGGCUCACUGGCCCGAUACUGACGCUGAGGCACGAAAGCGUGGGGAGCAAACAGG